AUUUUGCAAUUGAGAGGUAUCCUGUAUAAAUGACUUUGUGCGUUGCAAGAGUUGUUCACAUGUUUGUAAUAUAUAGCAACAAAAGCUGUGGUCUCUUCUAAGUGCAACAUCAUUUUGAGUAGAAGAUCUUCUAUUUAUGAAUUACAAUUCAUUUUUAAAAUAAAAAUAAGCAAUUUAAAGCCAUGGAAACAUUCAGAAUGGUUUAGUAAUUGCAACACUCAUUUCAAUCAUCAUGGUACUUACGAAAAUAAGAGCGAUUUAUUACCAUCACUCUUUUUCGUUUUUGUGGAUUGCUAGACAAAUUCAUAGCGAAUGUCAUGAUUUUUAAUACAACAGCUAAGUAAAUAAAAUCCAAAUACAGAAAUCAAGAGCACAUGGUAAAAGAGUAGGGGAUUAGUAUAGGAGAGAUAAUCAGUAAGAAAGGAAACAAUAAGGGCAUAGACUGGAUGAGAAAAUUGAAAAACAAGAAAAACGAAAGAGCGAAGAGAGGGGAAUAUCUAGCAAAGGAGGUAAAGAUUUAUGCAACAGAUAAUAGACAUAUAUAAUAGUUAAGUGUUACAUGGUAGACAGUAGAAAAGGGAUAGUAAAAUAAGGGUAGCAUAAGGUUGUGUGUGUAAACUGAGAAUGCAAGACAAUAAGGAGAAUAAUUUUGUUGUAAACCGAGUUCCUUUUACGGCCAUGAAGCUAAAAUAAACUAUAUUAUGUAAAGAAAAA